rnacentral:rRNA from 1 species
CACGUAGGGUGCGAGCGUUGUCCGGAAUUAUUGGGCGUAAAGAGCUCGUAGGCGGUGUGUCGCGUCGGCCGUGAAAACCUGCAGCUUAACUGUGGGCGUGCGGUCGAUACGGGCAUCACUGGAGUUCGGCAGGGGAGACUGGAAUUCCUGGUGUAGCGGUGAAAUGCGUAGAGAUCAGGAGGAACACCCGUGGCGAAGGCGGCCCUCUGGCUCGACCCUGACGCUGAGGCGCGAAAGCGUGGGGAGCGAACGGG